rnacentral:lncRNA from 13 species
CCGGUUCCAGCGGCGAACCCGCAGCGCCCGCGCAGCCACCCGCUCGGCCCUCUCCCGCCCGGUGCGUGGGUCCAGGAGAGAAAAAGCGCGGCGGUGGCGGUGGCGGCGCGCAGUCCCACUCACCAUGAUCCGCAGCUGCUGUGGCGCGACAACCGGGGCGCGCGGCGAUGCGCUGUCCAGGGUAGCCAGGUCCCUCUGCCCGGCGCUGUCUCGGCGCCCACACCGGUUACCCUCACCCAUGCCCCCGCCCGCGCCUCCCCUCCUCCUCGGGCUCGCGCCUCCGCCGUGCAGCGCACGGAUCCUCGGGGCCGUUUCGUCCCCGCCCCCUCGCCCACAGGGGCCUCCCGCGCCGCCCCUCCUGGAGGGCGCGCGGGGGAGGGGCGCAGGGCUAACGAGGCGGUGCCCUCCUCCCCUGCGGCGCCGCGCGCCCCCUCCCGGGCGACCGCCCUCGCUUUCGCGGCUGCGGCGCUCCCUGGCGGCCGGGAGGUGAUUUGCAGGCCCAGCCGGCGUCCGUUGCACGUGGCGGCUCAACGUUCGCGGAACCCCACGAGGACCCACCACCUGCCCGGAUUGGCGGCUGCUGCCGCGGGAGGAGUAGCGUGCAGGGCAGGCACGCUGGUCCUGCUUCCAGUUGGGUUUCGUGGGUUUGAAGCACACAUUAGGAGGAAAUGGCUCUGUUCGUGCAGGAAGUUGGUGGCUCCCUUCUGUAUCCACAGCAUUUCGGGAGGCUGAGGCGAGCUGAUCACUUGCGGUCAGGAGUUCGGGACCAGCCUGGGCAACAUGGCAAAACCCCAUCUCUUAAAUCAAAAAUACAAAAAAUUAGCCGCAUGUGGUGGUGCGUGUGCCUGUGAUCCCAGCCACGGGAGGCUGAGGUGGGAGGAGCGCCUGAGCCCAGGAGGUCGAGGCUGCUGUGAGCUGAGAUCGUGCCACUGCACUCCAGCCUGGACGACAGAAUGAGACCCUGUCUAAAAAAAAAGGUGAACUUGUGAGGCUCGUGUGGUAAACAUGAUUAUUGGGGUUGAGAACAACAUGUGUGGAUGUGCACAGAGGUACCUGCCCCAUGCACUUCCCAUCCCACACCUCGGGUGGUUACAGGCGCCCUUGCAGAGUUUUGUGUGGUAGCAGAGUAACGUAGGUACCAGGGCUCAAUCUUAACUGUCACACAAUCACCUAAUAUAUAGUUUCCUAAAGGAGGGUUUUUAAAUGUUAUAUAGAAGUUCCCAUAGCUGAAGUGGUAAAUGUUAUGCACGUUUGUUUAUAAAGGUAGGUGAUUUUAUGACCAUGAACAGGUAGAUUAACCUGGUGUGAUAAAGCCUGGGGAGACAGCUCUGCCACAUAGCGGGUGUGUGGUAUUGGGUUGGUUACCUAAACUCUCUGUGCUCCAGUGUCCUGAUCUAAAAAUUCGGGAUAAAAUAGCACUUAAAUGACAUGUGGCUGUUAGGGUUAAAUUAAUAUCGCUAAAAUGCUAGAAAAAUAUCUGGUACCGAGUACUAGUUAUUGAUUUGUUACCAAUUUUGAGAAUCAGAAAGUGAUAUUCUAUUUAAUGCUGGUAUAUUUUUGUAAAAAGUGUGACCCAAAUCAAAGAUACAAUUUGAUUUCAGCUUCAUAGUCACUUUGUUCACUCAGCAAAGCUUUCAGUACCUACUAUGUGCUGGGCAUUUUGGGAAGAGCUAGGGUUACAGUGAUGAAGAAACACAGUCCCUGCUGUUAGGAGUUUUUAGAACCUAUGAUG